CAAGAUUAAAGAACUUGGGUUAUACUUAUUUGUGCUAUAACUUCUUCAUGAAAAAAUAAACAGAGGAAGAUAUCUGUCCCAUUUAUCUUUGAAGUAUACAAGGGGGCAGAUAUUAUGUAGGAGAAAUAUACUGAUCCUUGCAACGAUGUGAAUGAAUCUCAAAAACAUGCUGUCUGAAGAAACCUGGUUGUUAAAUAUUUAUCAGCAUUCUACUAUUGUAUUCUCCAAAAUCAAGGAAUCAAAGUAUUCCUCAUCUGUAUCCAUCUUGAAGAUAAAGCUGACAUAGAGAGGAAGGCAGUGAGAAGACAAGUGGAACCAGGUUUCAGAUCAAAUUACUCGUGAAGGUUGCCUCACAUUUGGAAUUCUGAGUCAUGGAGGCAAUGUAUUCCUAUAUUUUAAAUUGUAAUCUGUUGCAUUUUGGUUUUAUGUCAUCUGCAGGUGAAAAACUCCUAAAUAAAGCCUUCUUCAAAUGCUCU